rnacentral:sRNA from 1 species
GUCAGGCGUGGUGGCGCAGGCCUGUAAUCCCAGCAGUUUGGGAGGCUGAGGCAGGAGGAUUACAAGUUCAAAACCAGGCUCAGCAAAAGCGAAGCACUGAGCAACUCAGUGAGACCCUGUCUCUA